AAGCAUUUUAGAAGCCCAAUAGUGGCCAUAACCCUUCAUCAUGCUUAUGGACCUGUAUAUGUCUGACAUAUUUAUAGCUGCAGGGUUAAACUUCUUUGAACAUAUCCAUAUCUGUUUUCAACACUCAUUCCAGCCAGAUAGAGCAGCAAGUCUGACUGAGUGCUACACUAAUCCCACCCUGACCAGGGAUCAAACAGAGCAAUAAUCUUCACUGCUUGGCACCAUCAGAGGUUGGGGAAGGGCUGGCUUGUGGAUCUGCAUGGAGCCAGAGUACAGUAUUGUACAUUUCUAGAAUAAAGCUUAAAGACUGAUAACACACAUGCCAGAGUAUUCCCAAACAAGUUGAGGGAAGCUGCUGGGUUCGUGUCUGAGCAUUCAGAAGAGGAGAGGAGGAGUGGCGCUGCAUCAGGGGAACUCCUGUCAGUCAUCUGUACCAACACUGUGCUCUGAAGGCAGGAAGAUGGAGUAGGAUGAUGUUGUGGGAGUGUGGUGCACCCUGCAACAUCAUGUAGCAUGUGGAACACCGAGA